ensembl:lncRNA SNHG29 small nucleolar RNA host gene 29
CUUUUCAUUCCCGUUGUUAUGGAGGGCCACAUCUGCCAGAGCCUGGAGUCUGCGAAGGCCGGGACCCGGUUCCCCGGCCCACAGUGGGGGUGUGCAAACCCGAGAGAACUGGUGCCGUCAGAAGCGAUAACUGACGACGUCUAAUGUCUAUCUGACCGCAGUCGCUGAAACCUCUACAACUUAGUUGACCGUAACUGCCAGAGCCCUGCCCUGAAUUCCUGUCCUUACUCCCUCUUUAAGAUUGCGUACCCACUGCAGAGUGCUGAAGACGGGGUAGCCACGAGGUUGCAAAUUCGUGAAGAAUCAGCAUCAUGUUUGGCAGCUGAGUAUUGGAGCCAGGAGCCUGCCAUGAGGUUUUGAGAACAGAGUGCUGUUUUAGAGCUGGCAGCAGCAUCUCAGCCCAAGAGAAGGUUAUAUUCCCAGAGGAUGUCAGUCCCAAGGACCAGUAGCUGCCAUCAGUUUGGAUUCUGAAAACUAACUGGCAUCAACACUGGGUGUAGAAACAUGCUUGCCUUAUGUAUCAGAGGACAUGCUCAGCAGAUCCAAGAGAUAUAUUUGGCAACUUUUUCUAGAAAAGGCACAUUGGGUAUCAUUCAUUACAUUCUUGAGUUUUUUUGGGUUUUUUUUUUUUUUUUUGAGACAGUCUUGCUGUAUUGCCCAGGCUGGAGUGUGGUGGCACAAUCACAGCUCAUUGCAUCCUCAAUCACCCAGGCCUAAGCAAUCCUCCCACCUUGUAGCUGGGACUACAGCUCACAGCACACCUGGCUAAAAUUUUUUUUUUGUUGAGACGGAUUCUCUAUGUUGCCCAGGCUGGUCUCAGGCUCCUGGGCUCAGAUGGUCCUCCUGCCUCAGCUUCCAAAGGCACAGGCCAAGUUGUAGCUUUGUCCCUUGCCAUCAUGCCCAACAAGAGGUUCUAUACCUUUUAAUGAAUUGACUUUCAUAAAUUGGUUAUGUUGGUGGGCAAAGUUCUUUAAGCUGGAAAUUGUAAAUUCCUCCUGAAAUGUUUUUUCAUGCAGUUACCAUGAACUAAUACUACAAUAAAGGAUGGUCUUGGGUGUCAA